GACGGAGGGUGCUAGCGUUGUUCGGAAUCACUGGGCGUAAAGGGCGUGUAGGCGGGAAGGUAAGUCGGGCGUGAAAUCCCUGGGCUCAACCCAGGAACUGCACUCGAAACUACUUUUCUUGAGUGCCGGAGAGGAAAGCGGAAUUCCUGGUGUAGAGGUGAAAUUCGUAGAUAUCAGGAGGAACACCAGUGGCGAAGGCGGCUUUCUGGACGGUAACUGACGCUGAGACGCGAAAGCGUGGGGAGCAAACAGG
rnacentral:rRNA from 1 species